rnacentral:misc_RNA from 1 species
GAUGAAGAACGUAGCGAAAUGCGAUAAGUAAUGUGAAUUGCAGAAUUCAGUGAAUCAUCGAAUCUUUGAACGCACCUUGCGCCCUUUGGACUUCUGAAGGGCAUGCCUGUUUGAGUAUCAUGAACACCUCAACUCCUUAUGGUCUUCCAUGAUGAGCUUGGACUUUGGGGGUUUUGCUGGCCUACAGUCAGCUCCUCUAAAAUAAAUCAGCUUACCGGUGUUUGGUGGGUAUCAUGGGUGUGAUAACUAUCUACGCUCGUGGUUUUCCACCAGGUAACCUUCAGCAGUGGAGGUUCACUGGAGCUCAUAGAUGUCUCUCCUCAGCGAGGACAGCCCUUUGAAUGUUUGAUCUCAAAUCAGGUAGGACUACCCGCUGAACUUAAGCAUAUCAUAAGCGGAGGA